GUGUUUGGGGUGGGGGGUGCUUCUCUGAGGGGGGGUGUAAUGUGUAGUAGGCAUUCCUUCUCUUCAGGAUGCAGUAUGCAGGUGAGGUCAUGUUUCAUAUUGUGUAGCUGGGUGUUUUGUGAGUCGGUUUGCAGUCAAGCUUUGUUUGUCUUUGCAGAUGUGUGCAGAUCUGGUACCGUGUUGUUCCCUGAAGGGUCGUAACUACUUCUCUGUGACCGUGUCAUGACAUUGCUGUAUGUCUGUCAAUGUAUGGGAGUGAAGGCCUGUGUACAAAGAACAAGAAGAUCUUGAGAGCGGGAGCGGCUGUCAAAGUUAAGUCUCUGCUGAAGGGUUUGAUAGUCAGAAGUAUUUGUACUGUUGAGGCUUCUUGUUUAGGGACAGAAGUCCUGUAAACUCUGCUAGUUAACUGGUGUUUUGAGGGAGCUCAUUGUAUGGAGGGAGUGUGCAUUUUCUGUGGAGGAAGGUUGAAUGCUGGCAGAGUGACCUGUCCAUAAUUAGAGAUGCUCUGUUCUCCAUUCUUGUCUCUUACACAGCACUGGGUUUGCAUCACUGGUCACCACUACCUUGUUUGUCUGUCCUCUACUGGGUGUUGGUUCUUCAGGAGGAUGUGAGCAUUGUAGUUAGUGAUGGGCUCCAGUCAGGGUGGGAAAAGGCCAUGAGUAUUGUGUAAUUUUUGAGUAUGUUGCGUGUUCAUUUUAAUUAUAUAGAAGUAGCUGGUUGCUCCUUCAUUGUGGGUAUGAAUGUGUCAGGGCUCUUUUGGUGUGUUGAAUAGGUCAGUUUAGCAAAGGGAGUGUGGUAUUGGGGCAUUUAGUGAUAAUGUGACAUUUAUUGUUUGUGUGCCACAGGGGCAUCUGAGUCCAGAACUGAGGGAAUGGGCUGGGGCAAGUGCUGCCUGUUUGGUCUACAUGGUGCCAGUGGGAGCAGAGGAGCCGGUUGCAUCUAUGAGGUACUUAAGAGGCUUCUGGAGGUGCAGUUUGGAAAAGAACGUUGUGCAAGGUGUGUUGUCUAAGGAUAAUGAGCUGAUUGAAAAUGUGUGAUGAAAUGAAGAGUAGAUAAUGCGGGUGCAUCUGGGGACGUGAAAAUGCGAUAGUCCUGGGUGGAGGUAGAGGAAAUUGUUGUUUGGUUGAGGUAAGUAUUGUGAAUUUGGAAAUUGUGAAUAUGGAGAAACAUUUUCUAUGUUUGCAUGUGGUGGGGUUCUGAGCAAAGAGAUUGUCAAACUGUGUUCUGAGUUUAAUAUUGGAAGGAGAUAUUGGGAUUUGGAUAGGGAGUGUAAUAGUGUUGGUGAAAUAUGAUUGAUUUUUUGGGGUGCAGGUUUCCUGUCAGUCAUGGUGCCUAGUUCUCAACUAUUGUGGUAAAUUAUUUGGGUGUGAAGUCCUGGUGAUGGUAAUGUAUUAUCUUCCUCUACUUCCCAUUGGUGUGUUCUGAACAUGGUUUGAGAUACUCUUUAGGCUGUUGGUCAGUGUGCAGUUGAAGUGCUGGUAAAGUUUUUUGUCAUUGUAGGUUUGGUGUGAAGAUGGGGUCCAAUUUGACAAAGAACCAGUGAUGUUGAAGUAAGACUGUGGGGGACAUGAAGUACUUGUUUCCAAACUGGAAGUGGAUUUGAUGUCUGGUUUGCAAGAAGUUAUUGCCGUCUGUGUGGUCUGAAGGUAUCGGUGUCACCGGAGAAGACUUUGGUGUGCUUUGUUUGGAAGAACUGGGGUUAGAUUGUAUAUUUUUUGGGGGUUGCAAUGUGAAGUGUCCUCUUCUUCUUUUGAUGGCUAGAAUGUAGUAGAGCAUUGGGGCUGGUGUCACUGUUUGGGUAUAUAGCAGAACUGCCAAUAUCAUGAAAUGGCAUUGUCAUUUCUGCAAUCCCAACGGGAGAGAUUGGGUUCAUUUGUUUGGUCUGUUGUGCGAAGUAGUUCCUGUAAUUACUUGCACAAAAUGUUACUUUCUUUUGAAAGGAGUAUUGUGCUUGCCACUUUAAAAGUUCUAGCCAUCAAAGUUGCAAGAGAACACUGUUAGGGGUUGUAUAAUUGCUUUGGGCAUUCUGAACUGUUUGUCAAUUUUAUUCAUAUUGUUGUGCAUGCUGUAUUUGUAGAGCUGUAAUGUAUAGCUUGGAUUAUGGUCAGAUGACUCAUUUAGUUAUCCAUGUGGUUGUGUGCUAAUCACUGCAGUGAUUUUGAAACCAUGGUGCAGUGCAGUCAAACAGCCUGAAGGCUGAUGUUGUUGCCAAUUUGUCAGCCUUUUGGCUGUUUUGCUACACUGCACCAUGGUUGGGACUGUCCCGGGCAGUCUUUGACUUAACUUUUUGCAUGUGGAGGUGCUGUUGAGGGAGCAUUCUGGCCAGUUAUUGGUGAGGUGUGGUUGAGCCCCACACCCACCUAUCACAAUAUGUACAAGGUUUAGUACUGGUGAUGUUUUGAAGUAUAUUGAAAUGAAAUGUGAACAUUGCUUUCUAGUUAUGUAAUACAUUAUAUGAAUGUAUGCAAAACAUUGUCAUUGAAUUUGUAUGCCAUACUGUACAGUGUCCAAUAUUUGAAAGUUGUUUAAUGUAGUGGAUGCUUUGCUAAGUCAAUAAAAGCACCAUCUUGUUGA